CUCCCACCCCCUCCGCCCCGCGAACCCCGGCUCGCGCUCCCCUCUCUGUGGGACCCCGCUCCGCAGGGCGUGCCGGACGGACGUGUGGUGCUGCGCAAAGAAAAGGGGCGCGGGACCCCGGGGAAGAGAUGAAAAGGGGGCCCGCCGGAGGGAGGGGCACACCCCAGGGAAGGAGCACAGUGGGACCUCGGGGAAAGGAGCAAGAGAGACACAGGGGAGGUCGAAGUGGGGACCCCGGGGGAGGGGUACAAGGGGCUACCCCAGGGAAGACGUGCAGAGGGGACCCUGGAGGGAGGGGCGCAGUGGGGACCCUAGGAGUGCUCAAGGGGGACCCUGGCUAGGGUAGGGACCGGAGAAGCUGGGAUGAGGGUCUCCUAGGAGGCAAGGCAGAAAGGGGGAAUCCCUGCAGGAUACAGAGCCCCUCUGAGGUCCAGCAGGAGUGUACACACACACCCGCCCAGGAAGCAGAGAAAGGCCCGGGUCUUUCUUUGGUUACCUCAACUUGGAGGACAAGACAGACAGGGUGCCCCUGUCACUACCUGAGGUGUGGUCAAGAUGGAAAGUAGAUCACCGAAGCCACCUGGGACACUUGGCUCAAAGAGGACAUCCAAAAUCUCUGCAUGAAUACUUGAGGCUUUCUGUGUCUGAGCCUCUCCGCUGACUCACUCCUGCCUGCUGAGGACAAAAAGUAAAAAGCUGUAAGGCCCUGGUGCCCGCCCCAGCCCCGCGUGCUGCUUAUCCAGACAUGGGAAAGGUUUAUCAGCUUGAAGUUUUACUACAUCUGCAUCGAAUUCCAAGACGCACCCCACCCGGGUAAUGGUGCCCGUCACUUGGGGAUUUUUGAGGAGCUGUGCACCAUCCAAUCCACCCACUCAGGCCGGGAAUGGAAAAAGCUCCAGCCAGUUUUCUUCGUGUUCUGCCACGUGUCACAACACAGCCCUGACUCCUCAGAUCCUCUGCCCUGUUCUCCCAGGCCUCGUGGGUGAGUCGAAAGUCCAAUUCCAGGUUCUACUAGAACCGGGGCCCAGGAUUUCCCACAUGCUGGAAACGCCAUGUCAGCAAUCCUUAGCCUCCUGCAUUGAUUAACCACUGUGCUACAACCUAUCUGCAGACUAGAAGGCAUAAAAACGAAUAGAAGUAAUGUGGAUCAGUACCCUUUCCCUGGGUUUAAAGAAACAAACUUGUGUUCUUUCAGUUAGAAAGCACAGAAGCAUAUGGAGAGGGGAUCGAUGAUGUCUAAAUUGGAACAUACUCCUACAUCCUUACAUGAUGUAGGAGAAUUUCAUGUAUUUUCCAAAUCUGACAAAAAUACUAAACAUUCAUGUGACUUCCCCAAUAGUAAGUUAUAUGCUAGAAGCUCUUCUAAACUAUCAACCAUGAAAAAAAAAAAACUGAUCAACUUUGCCAGUACAAAGACCAAAAUAUCUGUUAACACUCUAGAACAUAAUGGACAAAAUCAUCUUAAUAUCUUAAAAAAAAUCCAUGCAGAUAAAACAUACAGGAAAAAGUAUCAGGUAUAUAAGGCAGCUGAUUAUAAAAAUCAUUGUGAGCUUUAAAUACAUAAUUUGUUAUGAUUUUUAAUUCUAAGAAAAUGCUAUGUUUGGUGCCUUAUUUUGUGUGUGUAAUGUGUGUGUGUGUGUGUGUGGUUUUUUUCCCUUAGUGCCCUGCACUGUAUCAUUUUCAGUCUCUGCUGAUCUAUCUCCGGUUGAACCUGAUGUUCCUUGGCCUAUUUCGAGGAGUGGGAACUUCCCAUUACAGAUGUUGUUAAAUUGAGUACAAAAUGAGCUAACACAUCCAUUUCUGUAGCCACUCACCAACCAGCGUAAGGGAAUGAAGCACAGUGGUGUGAGCCGGAGGUAUGAUCGAAGGAUGUCCAUUGGAAUGCCACAAUACACUUAAAUAUAUUACAACUCUUCUGGCCUUUUUAAAGAAAAUAUGCCAACAUAAUCAACUCAUGAUUUUCCGAGUGGCUGUGACUCAUUUACCACGUUGUCUCUUGAACCUCUAAGAGCUGGUGAGUGUAAGAAGUUUUGUCCCUAAGCUAAAUGGUCUUGGGCUACUAUACUUUUGAUGUUUUUGCAGUAUAAGAGUGAGUUUCCCCAUCUGAAGACUUUUUUGGUUGGUUGAUUUGGUUGCUUGGUUUGGUUUGGUUUUGGUUUUGGUUUAACCACAUUCAUUAUAAGGAAUUGGUAUCUGUGCGGGUUGUAUCUUGAGUCCUCUUUUUUUUUUCCAUUCCUGUCCCUUUCUUCAAACCCCCUUCCCCUCCUCACUCACAAAGCUCUGUUUCAUUUUCUUCCUUUUCUCAUUCUUUCAAGAGCUUUCUCAUUUAUUUUAAAAUGUUUGUACCAGGCUGGGAGUUUAGUGUGAGGUCGGUAGUUCAAUCCCUGGUACCAAGUAAAUAGAUAAAUGAAUAAAAUUUUUAAAAAUAUGAAGUUUGUAGUGUAAGUAAAUCCACUGGAAAGGUCUCAUCAGUCUUAGUACACCUAGGACUUUUGUUUUCUGGGAGUUUUUUUCACUGAUUUGAUCUUUCUUGCUUGGUAUCAAAAAUAUUUUUUUAAACUAAGAAAAGGAGCCAUGUGGAUAAAAUUAAGUUUACCUAACAGUUUAAAGAAUCGCUUUAGAUUAAUUUCCAGGCUUUCUCAUGCACAAAUGUCGGACUCCUGCGUUUUCUCCCCACACAAAGCCAGUGUCCCACAGGAAAGGAGGUGGCAGGAGUGGCUGCUGUAUUCCUGCUGGCAGAUGCCCACGUGUCUGCUUGGUGCGGGCCUCUUGGGAGAUAGCCUCAGGGCUGCCUGGACUGCAGACAAGCUCAGAGGUCCUGCCAGUGGGGUCCAGUUGGUGUCCGUGGCUGCUGGGACUCGUCCUUGGAGCUGUCAGUCCUCACUGAGCGUCUUCUCACCCUGUCACCUGGCUGCACUGGUCCUCAUCACUGCACCCUGCUAAGGACUCCCCCGGAUUUCAGCUGUGUGCACCCUUUAUUCCAGGCCUGGGCUCAGUAAAGUUAAACUCAGGGUUUCUCUUUCCCUCGUUAUGGUGCUGCACUCUCUGAGUUUGCUUUGAGCCAAAUGCCUUCAGCGUGGUGCCAGAGCAUACAAGAGGCAGUCUCGCCAGCCUUCCAAUAUCAGUCAGAGCAAGAGCCGCUGCUCUGACGCAUCAGAGGGCCAAAGCCAGGAAAGGGCCUGUCUCCUGAGCGCUGUCUCCCAUCCCUGUAUGCCAUCUUCUGCCAUGAGCCGCCAUAACUGGAAAGGUGGCUUCCCUUCUGCCUCCUCUUGCUGUCUCCGUGGGGCCAGGAGAGUCCGGCCAGCAGCAGAAUCUCUGGGCUGCCUAGCCCUUUACAGCAUGUGCUCCUUCCUACCCCAGUCUGCUAAUCCCUGAGGAGAAGUAAAUGAAGGACACUUUUUAAAAUGUUAUCCUUGCAUUAUUAGCAAAGAGGAUUGAAUUUCUCAAUAACACUUGACAAAUUAGUCCCACUUUUAUUCUAACUUAACAGGUGAGGAAAUCAAACACACCCUGCAGUCAUUUUCAGGCCUACCCCACCCUCACGCCACCACCACCAAGUUUCUGCUCUUCUGCAGUGUUUUCUCCAGAAUCUCUUUGGUUAGAAUAAGAUAAUGUUUUAAAUUUUCACUAUUAGUACUUCUGAUAAAAGAAGAAUUAAGAUGUAUUAUGUACAUGUACCAACUCCCCACAACAUAUACUAAACAAAUUUUUAAAAUUUUUAAUACACAAAUUACUUUUUAAGUUUUAUUUCCAUAAGACACAUACUAUUAAUCCCAUUCUUGUUCGCAUCAAUCAUCUGUCUGGAUCUCUUUUGUCUCUGCGUAGUGGUCUUCUUAAUUUCUUAUUUUCUUAUUGUUCUCAACUUUUCAGCAUCUUUCCUAACACCACCCUUAUAAGAUUUUCAACAAUACUCACCUGGGGAGAACCCCCAUACCACUUCUUGCUUGAGUACGUAUUUUCACAAUUUCUUGAGACAAAAAGCCAAAAUACAUCUUACAGCUGUGGGUAGAGAUUCUCGAAGAGAGUAAUAUUCUGGUUAUGUGUGUAAGGAAUAUCACGAAUGCCUUAAAAAUAUAAAAUGCAUAAUGUAAUUUGUGUAUUUUUCCUGUUGAUGGGCAAAUAUAUUGGAUGAACUCAGCACUUUAACUGUUAAAACCCCAACCCAGAACCAGGUUCUGUUUGUGGAGAGGACUGAGGGUGUAUAGGGCCUUUGGCCAAGGAAUGGACCCCGUUCCCAGAAGUGGUAUCAUUACUGAAACUUGUGCCAAGAAGCUCGUGUUAUGCUUUAUUUCGAGGUCACACAGAAGUGACACAGCAAUUCAUCCAAGAAGACUGCAGUGGAACUGAAGCGUGGAGAAUACACUGUCAAGUUAGAAGCUAGGGUGAGAUCCAGGCAGUGUCGUUCUUCAUCCACGCCACAUGAAACGUGUCCUUUGACUCUGGUUUCCUCAGAAUGCCAAGCCACCCUAGGGACGCAUGUUCCACCCGUCUGUCCUGCCUCACGUCUUGGAAGCCCUGUCCAUGUGACAUGUACAACACACUUCCUGGCCCCCAUCCCCAGACCCCAAGGACUCCUUCCCCUCGGCCCCUCAUGUUGCCUGGGCACCUCAACAUUCUCUGCGGUUCUCUUGGCCCUACCCAAGCCUCUGGGAGCAGACUUCACGACAUUCCCUUCAACAUGCCAGCUUGGCAUGUCUUCUGUUUUCCACUAGCCUCCUUUUUAGGAUAUUUACACUUUGAGAAAUGAUAGAUACAGAUGACAUUCAAGGGACACUUGAACUAGGCAGCCUUUAUGGUCCUGAUCAAUAGAGUUCAAGUGAGUACAGCUCAAACCAGCUGUCAUCCGGUAAUCUCAGACCUAGCUUCAUUGAGAAUGUUUUAGCUCUGUUUUAAUAUUCAAACACUUCCCUUUGGUGAGUUCACCUGGAGAUGACAGAAUCCUCAGGAAGCUCUUCACGUCAGACACACAGGAUGCUGAGAGAAACUUCCAAGUUGCCAUUUAUUCACCUGGACAUAGAAAAGGACCUCUGGAAUCAGAGCUGUUAGGCUGUCAAUUCAGAGCUCUGCCUUCUAGUGGAUAAUAUCAGAGUCUCAGGUGACGCAGGACAGAUGCUUGUAUCACAGUUACAAGGUACCGGAUAUUUUUAAGUGAUUUUCCCCAUGAAUUUACAUUGGCAUGUGGAUUGCUUUUAUACACGUUAGCUAAGUUCCUAUCAGGAAGAACAAAACCCAACAGAUGGGUAACUGAACAGGAAUGGCAACAGACUAACUGAAUAACGACAGUGCAGGUAACUCUUAUAGUCGUGAAACAUUGAAAGAAGACAGAUGGAAAAGAGCAGAUGUUGUAAUAUGAACCAAGUAAAGCCCAUCAGUGACACUGAGAAGGCAGGUUAGGGGUGCUUUGGGUAAGGAAAUCAGGGCUGAAACAGCCAAGAGGGGACUUCUUGGAAGCCAGCGAUGUUCUCUCGCUUAGUGAGUGCUAGCUGUGUGAUGGAGCCAUUUGACAAUUAUUAAGCUGUGCAUUUGUGAUAGAGGCGUUCUUCUGUCAACAAAAUGUUUGAACAUUUGCCAGGGGCACUUUUAGCACUAGAACAUGCCCGUUCUGGACAAUGUUGUGGACCCUCCAACCAGUUAACCUCCGACCUGGGCUGCUCAGAUGACUCCUUGUAGACAAUACCAAAAGGAUAAUAUCAUGGCAUUAUCUCGAUACAAGCAUCUGACAUCACAAAAGCAUCUUGUACUUGUUGUCUUCCAGAUGAAUCACAUCACUUUGCAGAUGAUAACACUCUGGACCCAUUCAAAAAGGACUUAGAAAUCGUUUCUGAGGCCAUGCUGUUUCUGGAGAGCCCUCCAUUGAUAUCGUCUUUGAAUAUUUUUUUAUCUCACCAUUGGCAAGUCUUCUUGAUACAUCAGUGUCGUGAUUUAUAACCAAAUAGGUGCUUGGGACUCUCUCCCCACACCUGAGUCAAAAUCUCUACACUUAGAGUCUCUACCUGUGUUUGAAUGUUGGUGCCUCCACCCUAAUUUGUAGACUGACAUUUAUCCCAGUGCCACAGCCCUGCGUGUGUAUUCAGCUUCAAUGCUCUCCAGCAUGACAGUACCUUCCAGCUGCAACCUCACACAGUGCAACAGACUUUCUGUGGUCUUUUUUUAUAAACUUUUGACCUCAUAACCUAGUCCUCUUCCACAGGCUCCAUCUUGACCCCUGCACUAGUGGAGCGGCCACUGCUGGAUCUGGGGAGAAGCAGACAUGGGGAAUUGUUGCGCAGGUGCAGUUUCAGUGUGGAGAGAUCAGAGCUUGAGGUGAAUAGUGGUGCUGGUCACACGCCACUGUGGAAGUGCUCAGUGCCACUGAACUGCACACUUUGAAAUGCUUCGUAUGGUCAUUUUGUGGCACAUUUUUUUUGAGCCAGGGUCUCUCUGUGCAGUUCAGGCUGGCACUGAGCACACUUUGUAGCCUGUUGGGAGCCGCGGCCGAGCCCGGUCGCCUUACUUGGCGGACGUGAGGCCUGUAGGAAAGAGCAAAGCCUGAGCUAGAUUACCCCUCCCAUCGAGUGUGCUAAGAUGGCGCUUGUCUCCUGCUUCCUGCUUGGUAAACAACCCGCUCUGUAAGAUAGUCUGCCUAGCAACAACUGAUGUUAGCCAAUCAGCCCGCAUCGCGCGCUUUGAACUGAUUGGCCACUGUAACCUUAUAAAAGUGAGUGCCUCUCCCGCCAGAGGGAGAAGCACGAAAGGAGCCGCGGGGAGCAGACCGGUAGAGGCUUCGGCCGGGAAGGAUCCCGGGGCAGACUGUACGGAGAGGGAAAAUAAAGAAAGCCCAGCCACUGACA